UUUAGACUGGAACAACUUACCGAAAGGUGAGCUAAUGCCGGAUGAGUUAUAUAAGUGCAUGUUUAUAUAGGAAAAGUUGGGGAGACCUGACGCUGAAAGAUGGACUCGCGUCCCAUUAGCUAGUUGGUAGGGUAAUGGCCUACCAAGGCGACGAUGGGUAGCCGGCCUGAGAGGGUGGCCGGNCACACUGGGACUGAGACACGGCCCAGACUCCUACGGGAGGCAGCAGUGGGGAAUUUUGCGCAAUGCUCGUAAGAGUGACGCAGCGACGCCGCGUGAAUGACGAAGGCCUUCGGGUCGUAAAGUUCUUUCGACAGGGAAGAAAAUGCCUAUAAGUAACUGUGUAUGUAUUGACGGUACCUGUAUAAGCAGCCCCGGCUAACUCCGUGCCAGCAGCCGCGGUAAUACGGAGGGGGCGAGCGUUGUUCGGAGUGACUGGGCGUAAAGAGCACGUAGGCGGUGUUGUAAGUCAUUAGUCAAAGACUAGAGCUCAACUUUAGUAAGGCUAGUGAUACUAUAAUACUAGAGUAUCAGAGAGGAUUGCAGAAUUCCUGGUGUAGCGGUGAAAUGCGUAGAUAUCAGGAGGAAUACCGUUAGCGAAGGCGGCAAUCUGGCUGGAAACUGACGCUGAGGUGCGAAAGCGUGGGUAGCAAACAGGAUUAGAUACCCUGGUAGU
rnacentral:rRNA from 1 species